rnacentral:rRNA from 1 species
GAUGAACGCUGGCGGCGUGCCUAAUACAUGCAAGUCGAGCGAACGGACGAGAAGUUUGCGGCUCGGAUGUUAGCGGAGGACGGGUGAGUAACACGUGGAUAACCCACCUAUAAGACUGGUAUAACUUCGGGAAACCGGAGCUUAUACCGUAGAAUAUUUUGAACCGUAUGGUUCAAUAGUGAAAGUCGGUCUUGCUGUCACGUAUAGCUGGUUCCGCGCUGCAUUAGCUAGUUGGUAAGGUAACGGCUUACCAAGGCAACGAUGCGUAGCCGACCUGCGAGAGUGAUAGGCCACAUGGGAGGUGGGACGCGCUCCUGGGUCCUACGGGACGCACCAGUAGCCAAUCUUACGCAAUAGGCGAAAGCCUGGCGGAGCAACGCCACGUCUGUGAUGACGGUCUUCGGUUCGUGAAGCUGUGUUAUUAGGGAUGAACAUAUUUGUAAGUAGCUGUGCACUGAGUGACGGUAACUAGUCAAAAAGCAACGGCUAACUACGUG